rnacentral:other from 1 species
GCAACCCUGGAAUGUUUGUGAUCAUAGCUUCGGUGCCUACCUUACAAGCAUUAAGAAUAAGGGCAUGGCCGCUGUUUCCGGUGUGCAAGCCCGGCCUGGACCGGGAAGCCUAAAAGAAUUAUGCUAGCGCCCGACCUGGUGACCCAGGUUCGUACCGCAAGCGUGACACGGCAUUUCGGGGUUGCU